AACAACCGUUUUAGUUCUUUCCUUCUCGGAUUUGUAUCGCAUGGUAGGAAGGGGGCACCUCUACAGCUAACGGUACCGGCUAACUUUUAUUCCAUACGGUUUCCAAAUACCCUGCGAUGAACAGAUAGACUGCAGUAGUAGCCUACUGCCACUUGAUCGGAUUAAGAGAGGCCGCGAGACAACUGGAUUUAAAGGUGAUUUUAGUUGCAGGCCUAUCCCCUCCCUUGGUGAUGCUGGCCCAUUAGCAUCACACACACGUCUCCCCACUACUUAUCAGCCGGCGUCAUGGCAAAGCCUCCUAGACUCUAAUGAACUGGCAACAGAUUCGGAGAUGUCCAUAUACUGUAGAUCAUCCUGAGCCCCCACAAUGGCCCAUCCACCGUGAUGUUAUUGAGAUUGUAAAUAAGAAGAGACAUACUUCACAUUAUCUAAAGGAUAUGGGAGACGAACCGCAAACCUAUAAUCACAACUGUGUGGUAGGAGCUAAUGACCACCUGACUUUGCCCAACCCCUGUUACUGGCUGUUUCAAGAGGUCAGAGAACUAAAUCGUCUCAAGCUCAAAACAUAAAGGCACUGGAAAACAACGUGUAAAAGAGGCAAGGAAAAGUUGGGGAUGCAGCUCUCAUCAAAUUUACGUAACCUGCCUUCUGACCUGCCUGCCUGCCCCUUGGAUUAUUCUGUCAAGCCUGCCCGUACCUGUACCGUCGCCUUCUCGAAUUGUCAACCGGUUACCGAACUCCUGCCCGUCCUUCUCGUUGUGAUUCUUGCCUCAGCCCUUUUGUGCCGUAAUAA